rnacentral:rRNA from 1 species
UUUACGGGGGGAACGCGAAGAACCUUACCAAAUCUUGACAUCCUUUGAAAACUCUAGAGAUAGAGCCUUCCCCUUCGGGGGACAAAGUGACAGGUGGUGCAUGGUUGUCGUCAGCUCGUGUCGUGAGAUGUUGGGUUAAGUCCCGCAACGAGCGCAACCCUUAAGCUUAGUUGCCAUCAUUAAGUUGGGCACUCUAGGUUGACUGCCGGUGACAAACCGGAGGGAGGUGGGGAUGACGUCAAAUCAUCAUGCCCCUUAUGAUUUGGGCUACACACGUGCUACAAUGGACAAUACAAAGGGCAGCUAAACCGCGAGGUCAUGCAAAUCCCAUAAAGUUGUUCUCAGUUCGGAUUGUAGUCUGCAACUCGACUACAUGAAGCUGGAAUCGCUAGUAAUCGUAGAUCAGAAUGGCAGAAGUCCU